rnacentral:snRNA from 1 species
UAAGACUGAAACAUAUAU